rnacentral:tRNA from 1 species
GCCGCCGUAGCUCAGUCGGCAGAGCUCCUGUCUUGUAAACAGGCGAGACCGGUUCGAGCCCGGUCGGCGGCU